rnacentral:rRNA from 1 species
GACGAACGCUGGCGGCGUGCCUAAUACAUGCAAGUUGAGCGCUGAAGGUUGGUACUUGUACCAACUGGAUGAGCAGCGAACGGGUGAGUAACGCGUGGGGAAUCUGCCUUUGAGCGGGGGACAACAUCUGGAAACGAAUGCUAAUACCGCAUAAAAACUUUAAACACAAGUUUCAAGUUUGAAAGAUGCAAUUGCAUCACUCAAAGAUGAUCCCGCGUUGUAUUAGCUAGUUGGUGAGGUAAAGGCUCACCAAGGCGAUGAUACAUAGCCGACCUGAGAGGGGGAUCCGCCACAUUGGGACUGAGACACGGCCCAAACUCCUACGGGAGGCAGCAGUAGGGAAACUUCGGCAAUAGACGGAAGUCUGACCGAGGAACGCCGCGGGGGUGAAGGAGGGUUUCGGAUCGGAAAACUCUGUUGGUAAAGAAGGAAGAUGGUGGGAGUGGAAAGCUCAUCAAGUGACGGUAACUAACCAGAAAGGGACGGCUAACUACGUG